rnacentral:rRNA from 1 species
GAUGAACGCUGGCGGCGUGCUUAACACAUGCAAGUCGAACGAGAAGUGAUGACGGAAACCUUCGGGCGGAAGGCUUUAUUUCGAGUGGCGGACGGGUGAGUAACGCGUGGGUAACCUGCCUCAUACAGGGCGAUAACAGCUGGAAACGACUGUUAAUACCGCAUAAGACCACAGCACCGCAUGGUGCGGGGGUAAAAACUCCGGAGGUAUGAGAUGGACCCGCGUUCGAUUACUCGGUUGGCGGGGUAACGGCCCACCAAAGCGACGAUCGAUAGCCGAUCUGAGAGGAUGACCGGCCACAGUGGGAGUGAGACACGGCCCAAACUCCUACGGGACGCAGCAGUGGGAAAUAUUGCAAAAUGGGGGAAACCCUGAUGCAGCGACGCCGCGUGAGUGAAGAAGUAUUUCGGUAUGUAAAGCUCUAUCAGCAGAGAAGAAAAUGACGGUACCUGAGUAAGAAGCCCCGGCUAACUACGUG